AGUGAACGCUGGCGGUAGGCCUAACACAUGCAAGUCGAACGGCAGCACAGUAAGAGCUUGCUCUUACGGGUGGCGAGUGGCGGACGGGUGAGGAAUACAUCGGAAUCUACUUUUUCGUGGGGGAUAACGUAGGGAAACUUACGCUAAUACCGCAUACGACCUACGGGUGAAAGCAGGGGAUCUUCGGACCUUGCGCGAUUGAAUGAGCCGAUGUCGGAUUAGCUAGUUGGCGGGGUAAAGGCCAACCAAGGCGACGAUCCGUAGCUGGUCUGAGAGGAUGAUCAGCCACACUGGAAGUGAGACACGGUCCAGACUCCUACGGGAGGCAGCAGUGGGGAAUAUUAGACAAUGGGCGCAAGCCUUAUCCAGCCAUACCGCGUGGGUGAAGAAGGCCUUCGGGUUGUAAAGCCCUUUUGUUGGGAAAGAAAAGCAGCAGGUUAAUACCGCGCUGUUCUGACGGUACCCAAAGAAUAAGCACCGGCUAACUUCGUG
rnacentral:rRNA from 1 species